GGGGAUGUAGCUCAGAUGCUAGAGCGCUCGCUUAGCAUGCGAGUGGCACGGGUAUCGAUACCCCGCAUCUCCA
rfam:Nicotiana sylvestris Nsyl_contig195070, whole genome shotgun sequence.